UUGCCACCUGUGGGUGAAGGACAGGAAGCUUUGGACUGGGAAGUAGAGCUCCCGGCCAGGGAAAGGGGGGGCUCUGCUCCUGAGCUGGGACCCGCCAUGGCAGGUCCUGGACAGAGAGAAGACUGAGCCGGUAAAAGGGCCAUGCGGGGGGUUGAAGAGCCGGGAAGACUGCGCCCCCAUGUGUCCCGGCACCUCUCAUGUGUGUCAGGGAGGCUGAGAAGCUGUUCUCAUCCAGGAACGGCAAGUCUAAGGCAUGUGUGCCACCACCUACCAAUCCUCCCACUGUGGCAGACAUCACUGAUCCACUGCGGCCCCCUUUCCCCUGUGAGCCAGGACAUGGCCUCAUCAUCUGUGGCCACAGCUCUCCACUUCAGCCAGACCACCCGGAACUCACGCGGCACGUCCUCGGACACGGACACGUUGUACACGGCUGGGAAGAAGGUGGGCAUCUCGUCGUUCACAUCCAGCACUGCAGGGGAGAAUGGGCGCCGGGGCUAGGCCUGCCUUCUGCUGCAGACGACCCAGCUCCAGAGCAGUGGCUCCAGCUCCAGCUCCAGACCAAGUAGGGAACGAAUUCCCAAGGGAGUCAUGGGCUCCAAGUGGCAUCUGUGUUAACACCUCCUGGCCAUGAGCCCAGGACCCCCCACCCCUGCCAGGGCGAGGACCAAGCCCAUCAGUGCUCCAGACCCUCCUGCUGUCCCUGUGCCCCUGUGCCCUGGGGGCUUACUGCUGCUCAGCUGUCAAAGAUGAGAGAGAAAACCUUAGAACCUCUCUCCCGGAUGCACCUAACAACGACCAUGGCGACAUGGACAGUCAUGACAACGAUGACGACGGUGACCAUUUACGAGCUUGUCCAGCGUGCCACGCCUGUGCUAAGUGCUUCCCGGACAGGACCACAUGCGGCCCUCAGAGCAUCGUAGAAGGCGGGAAGCCCUCCCAGAUUAGGAGCAGCUGUUCCAGCUUGAGGACCCCACCAUGAUCUGGAGCUCAACCACACAGAAGAUGGGAGUCACAGGCUGCCCCUCCCCGCUUUGCUUGAUUUGUGAGACAGCAACAACAAAAAUAAAAUGACGUCAAGGGUUCUUUUGUAAAA